rnacentral:rRNA from 1 species
UACGGAGGGGGCUAGCGUUGUUCGGAAUUACUGGGCGUAAAGCGCACGUAGGCGGCUUUGUAAGUUAGAGGUGAAAGCCCGGGGCUCAACUCCGGAAUUGCCUUUAAGACUGCAUCGCUAGAAUUGUGGAGAGGUAAGUUGGAAUUCCGAGUGUAGAGGUGAAAUUCGUAGAUAUUCGGAAGAACACCAGUGGCGAAGGCGACUUAACUGGACACAUAUUGACGCUGAGGUGGCGAAAGCGUGGGGAGCAAACAGG